rnacentral:rRNA from 1 species
CCUGGCUUAGGAUGAACGCUGGCGGCGUGCUUAACACAUGCAAGUCGAACGGAGACUGCGAUUGAAGCUGAAGUAGCUUGCUAUGGAUGUGGAUAUCGUAUCUUAGUGGCGGACGGGUGAGUAACGCGUGGGUAACCUACCUCAGUACAGGGGAAUAGCAGUUGGAAACGACUGAUAAAACCGCAUAAAACGGCAGCAGGGCAUCCUGCAACCGUCAAAUAUUUAUAGGUAUGAGAUGGGCCCGCGUCUGAUUAGGCAGUUGGCGAGGUAACGGCUCACCAAACCGACGAUCAGUAGCCGGCCUGAGAGGGUGAACGGCCACAUUGGGACUGAGACACGGCCCAAACUCCUACGGGAGGCAGCAGUGGGGAAUAUUGGACAAUGGGGGCAACCCUGAUCCAGCGAACCGCCGCGUGAGUGAAGAAGUAUUUCGGUAUGUAAAGCUCUAUCAGCAGGGAAGAUGAUGACGGUACCUGACUAAGAAGCCCCGGCUAACUACGUGCCAGCAGCUGC